rnacentral:ncRNA from 1 species
CACAGGCAAGCGCAGGAUUACUGCUAGGUCGUCGGAUAGACGGCAGCUCCUUUGUGAGUGGGUUCCUGGCACCUGGGGCCUGUGCAUUU